AAGCUCGUAGUUGAAUUUCGGGAUUAGUACGUCGGUCGUGCCUUAGGUACGUACUGGUGUUACUGGUUCCUACCUUCUGACGAACCAUCAUGUCAUUAAUUUGGUGUGGUGGGGAAUCAGGACUGUUACUUUGAAAAAAUUAGAGUGUUUAAAGCAGGCUCGCGCUUGAAUACAUUAGCAUGGAAUAAUGAAAUAGGACGUUGAUCCUAUUUUGUUGGUUUCUAGGAUUGACGUAAUGAUUAAUAGGGAAGUUGGG
rnacentral:rRNA from 1 species